rnacentral:SRP_RNA from 1 species
CCGUGCUAGACGGGGAGGUAGCGGUGCCCUGUACCCGCAAUCCGCUAUAGCGGGGUCGAAGGCUCGCCUGAGGCUGCGUUUUGUGGGGUUAGGCUGGUGUAAGUGGCGUUGACGAUUGGGUCUUGCGCAAUGCAAACCUGUGAACCCCGUCAGAUCCGGAAGGAAGCAGCGGUAAGCAGACUUUUGCAUGUGCCGCAAGGAAGCCUGGUCUGAGCUAACUGCACCUGUACCACCCGGAAGGCGCAGUCGAAGCGAGAUGCACGG